AGAUUGAACGCUGGCGGCAGGCCUAACACAUGCAAGUCGAGCGGUAGAGAGGUGCUUGCAUCUCUUGAGAGCGGCGGACGGGUGAGUAAUGCCUAGGAAUCUGCCUAGUGGUGGGGGGAUAACGUUCGGAAACGGACGCUAAUACCGCAUACGUCCUACGGGAGAAAGGCGGGGGACCUUCGGGCCUCGCGCCAUUAGAUGAGCCUAGGUCGGAUUAGCUAGUGGUGAGGUAUGGCUCACCAGGCGACGAGUCCGUAACUGGUCUAGAGAGGAUGAUCAGUCACACGUGGAACUAGAGACGACGG
rnacentral:rRNA from 1 species